rnacentral:rRNA from 1 species
AACUUUUGGCAACGGAUGCCUUGGCUCUUGCAACGAUGAAGAAUGCAGCGAACUGUGAUACGUAUCAUGAAUUGCAGAACUGUGAAUGAUAAAUUUUUGAACGCAUAUUGCACCAACCUUUUGGUUGGUAUGUCUGGUUGAGAACCUGA